CUACCUACGGGGGGCAGCAGUGGGGAAUAUUGCACAAUGGGCGCAAGCCUGAUGCAGCGACGCCGCGUGCGGGAUGGAGGUUUUCGGAUUGUAAACUGCUUUAGAUGGGGAAGAAAAAAGACUGUACCCAUAGAAUAAGCUCCGGCUAACUACGUGCCAGCAGCCGCGGUAAUACGUAGGGAGCAAGCGUUAUCCGGAUUUAUUGGGUGUAAAGGGUGCGUAGACGGGAAUUUAAGUUAGUUGUGAAAUCCCUCGGCUUAACUGAGGAACUGCAACUAAAACUGAAUUUCUUGAGUGCGGGAGAG
rnacentral:rRNA from 1 species